rnacentral:rRNA from 1 species
AUUGAACGCUGGCGGCAGGCCUAACACAUGCAAGUCGAACGAGUGGCGGACGGGUGAGUAAUGUCUGGGAAACUGCCUGAUGGAGGGGGCUAACUACUGGAAACGGUAGCUAAUACCGCAUACCAUCGGAUGUGCCCAGAUGUGAUUAGCUAGUCGGUGGGGUAACGGCUCACCUAGGCGACGAUCCCUAGCUGGUCUGAGAGGAUUACCAGCCACAUUGGAAUUGAGACCCGGUCCAGCCUCCUACGGGAGGCAGCAGUGGGGAAUAUUGCACAAUGGGCGCAAGCCUGAUGCAGCAAUGCCGCGUGUAUGAAGAAGGCCUUCGGGUUGUAAAGUACUUUCAGCGGGGAGGCGUUACCCGCAGAAGAAGCACCGGCUAACUCCGUGCCAGCAGCCGCGGUAAUAC